CGCCUUUGGAAUAAGAUCAAAAGGUCGGGCCUGCCCGGUGACUAUGGUUUAACGGCUGCAGUACUCUGACUGUGCAAAGGUAGCAAAAUCAAUUGUUCGUUAAUUGUGGACUGGAAUCAAUGGUUUGACGAUAAAAUAACUGUCUUUUUUUACUAAUUUUUAAAUUAACUUAAAAGUGAAGAGACUUUUGUAAAGUAGCGGGACGAGAAGACCCCGUUGAGCUUUAGCUAAGACAUUCUAUACCAAAAAUUUCUUAGCUUUAGUUGGGGCAACUAUUUUUAUGUUAUAAGACAAAAUACUAAAAUUAAUGAGUUAAAUCUACUCUGACCCUUAAUUAUUAGGAUUGAUAGAACAAGUUACCACGGGGAUAACAGCGUAAUUUUUUUUGAGAGUUCUUAUUGACAAAAAAGUUUGCGACCUCGAUGUUGGAUCAUAGCCUCCUAAGGGUGCAGCAGCUCUUAAGGGUUGGUUUGUUCAACCAUUAAAGCUAU
rnacentral:rRNA from 1 species